rnacentral:rRNA from 1 species
GAUGAACGCUGGCGGCGUGCCUAAUACAUGCAAGUCGAGCGAACGGACGAGAAGCUUGCUUCUCUGAUGUUAGCGGCGGACGGGUGAGUAACACGUGGAUAACCUACCUAUAAGACUGGGAUAACUUCGGGAAACCGGAGCCAAUACCGGAUAAUAUUUUCAACCGCAUGGUUCAAAAGUGAAAGACGGUUUUGCUGCCACUUAUAGAUGGAUCCGCGUUGCAUUAGCUAGUUGGUAAGGUAACGGCUUACCAAGGCAACGAUGCAUAGCCGACCUGAGAGGGUGAUCGGCCACACUGGAACUGAGACACGGUCCAGACUCCUACGGGAGGCAGCAGUGGGGAAUCUUGCGCAAUGGGCGAAAGCCUGACGGAGCCACGCCGCGUGAGUGAUGAAGGUCUUCGGAUCGUAAAACUCUGUUAUUAGGGAGGAACAUAUGUGUAAGUAACUGUGCACAUCUUGACGGUACCUAAUCAGAAAGCCACGGCUAACUACGUG